GGGGGGGGGGGGGGGGGGGGGUAGCGCGGGCGGGGCGAGCGGGGAGGCCCUGCGUUUGUGGGGUGCUCGAGUGGCGAACGGGGGAGUAACACGUGAGUAACCUGCCCUUGACUUUGGGAUAACUUCAGGAAACUGGGGCUAAUACCGGAUCGGAGCUCCUGCUGCAUGGUGGGGGUUGGAAAGUUUCGGCGGUUGGGGCUGGACUCGCGGCUUAUCAGCUUGUUGGUGGGGUAGUGGCUUACCAAGGCUUUGACGGGUAGCCGGCCUGAGAGGGUGACCGGCCACAUUGGGACUGAGAUACGGCCCAGACUCCUACGGGAGGCAGCAGUGGGGAAUAUUGCACAAUGGGCGGAAGCCUGAUGCAGCAACGCCGCGUGCGGGAUGACGGCCUUCGGGUUGUAAACCGCUUUCGCCUGUGACGAAGCGUGAGUGACGGUAAUGGGUAAAGAAGCACCGGCUAACUACGUG
rnacentral:rRNA from 1 species